ACGGAAGGCAGCAGUGGGGAAUAUUGCACAAUGGGGGAAACCCUGAUGCAGCGACGCCGCGUGAGUGAAGAAGUUAUUCGUAAUGUAAAGCUCUAUCAGCAGGGAAGAAAAUGACGGUACCUGACUAAGAAGCCCCGGCUAACUACGUGCCAGCAGCCGCGGUAAUACGUAGGGGGCAAGCGUUAUCCGGAUUUACUGGGUGUAAAGGGAGCGUAGACGGUCUGGCAAGUCAGAAGUGAAAUGCAGGGGCUCAACUCCUGAACUGCUUUUGAAACUGUCAGACUAGAGUGCUGGAGAGGUAAGUGGAAUUCCUAGUGUAGCGGUGAAAUGCGUAGAUAUUAGGAGGAACACCAGUGGCGAAGGCGGCUUACUGGACAGUAACUGACACUAAUGCUCGAAAGCGUGGGGAGCAAACAGGAUUAGAUACCCUGGUA
rnacentral:rRNA from 1 species